GACGAACGCUGGCGGCGUGCUUAACACAUGCAAGUCGAACGGGAUUUAGUAGACAGAAGCCUCGGCUAAAGAUUACUAAUGAGAGUGGCGAACGGGUGAGUAACGCGUGAGCAACCUGCCUAUGACAGCGGGAUAGCCUCGGGAAACCGGGAUUAAUACCGCAUAAAAUCGUAGAAACACAUGUUUUAACGGUCAAAGAUUUAUCGGUCAUAGAUGGGCUCGCGUCUGAUUAGCUAGUUGGUGAGAUAACAGCCCACCAAGGCGACGAUCAGUAGCCGGUCUGAGAGGAUGAACGGCCACAUUGGAACUGAGACACGGUCCAAACUCCUACGGGAAGCAGCAGUGGGGAAUAUUGCACAAUGGGGGAAACCCUGAUGCAGCGACGCCGCGUGAACGAAGAAGGUAUUCGUAUCGUAAAGUUCUGUCCUAUGGGAAGAUAAUGACAGUACCAUAGAAGAAAGCUCCGGCUAAAUACGUG
rnacentral:rRNA from 1 species